UACAGAGGGGCAAGCGUUAUUCGGAAUUAUUGGGCGUAAAGGGCGCGUAGGCGGCUUGGCAAGUGGAAGGAUGAAUCCCUCGGCUUAACCGAAGGAGCUGCCUUCCAGACUGCUUUGCGUUGAAGGCCGGGGAGGAGGCGAGUGGAAUUCCCAGUGUAGCGGUGAAAUGCGUAGAUAUUGGGAGGAACACCAGUGGCGAAGGCGGACUCGCUGGACCGGUUCUGGACGCUGAGGAGCGAAAGCCAGGG
rnacentral:rRNA from 1 species